rnacentral:snRNA from 1 species
GGUCAAUUUGAAACAAUACAGAGAUGAUCAGCGGUUCCCCUGCAUAAGGAUGAACCGUUUUACAAAGAGACC